rnacentral:rRNA from 1 species
GAGGAGACUAUAAGUCUCCUGAAGGAACGUUGAAGACGACGACGUUGAUAGGUCGGGUGUGUAAGCGCAGCGAUGCGUUGAGCUAACCGAUACUAAUGAACCGUGAGGCUUAACCUU